CACACACAGUUCUUAUUGAAGGCAGAUGGUGGAUCAUGAAACAUAAUAACAGCAGACACACCUCAGUGGAAUAUUUAAAUGUUUCAUGAGGUCACUGAGCUCUUUAGCCUAGCUUAGCACAAAGACUGGAAGCAGAGGGAAGUGUUAGCCAAGCUGCUAACUGUACUUGUUGUAUUUGCAGUGUCAGCUCAGUACGACGACUUCACUCCAGCUCCAGACUACGGCGACUACAACGCCACCUUCGAGUACACCUUUUUCAGUAACGGCAGCAGCGACGAUCUGGACAAACUCAGCCAAUUCAUUGGCCUGGACGACGAGCAAGACGAGGACGGCGAGCAAGACGAGGACGGCGUUCAUGGUGCCGCAUCACGUGCUGUUUCCAUGGACAUCAGGAUGCUGGUCUGGACUCUGACGGUUCUGAUCAGCUUGAACACUCUAUGAGCCCAAUGCUGGAUCAGUCCAAUCCCGCCCACACCAGCACGGGUCACCUGAUCACAGGUGGGAGGAGUCAUAGUCACCUCUGUGACCUCUGACGCCCACCUGAACAGGGAGCUGUGCGUUCACAGGUGGACCUGAGCCAAUCACGAAGCUUCAUGAGCAGCACCGAUCACUGAGUCUGUUUACACUUUACUUGUCACCUGUCUCACCUUCUACCUGUCUGUCUGUCAGCGAGUCACACUGUGAUGAACUCUGAUGUCAUCAGGAACAAACCACACCAGCUCACAGUCCACUGUUGCUAAGAGACGAACGUGAAGGGUAUCCAUGGAAACCUCAAAGAUGACGUCACGUUUACUGCAGUAAAGUACUUUUAUUUUGAAGGACUUCCUGAUGUUUGUUUGUAAACAUUUUAAAAAUUAGUUACCCAGAAGGCCGCAGUGUCACCUUCACUGCGUUUAGUCCAAACCUCGACAAAGUUCGACAAUGUUAGAGAGACAUUUACAGAACAGUGCCCCCAGAGUCACAGUGAUGUCACAGUGAUGUCAUCACGGUGAUGACAUCACUGUGACAUCACAGAGUGAGAGUCCAACAGCAGCACUUUCUUUAUUUACUAACUACUGUCCAUCCUCUGGUCCAGUCCAGUCCGGUCCAGACCAGACCGAGGAUCCUGAUGAUGAAAAUCUAAACAGGAAGUAUUUGUCCCGUCAAAUUAAAAGUCUGUGUUGGUAAAUUCAGAGUUCAUGAUUUAAAUUUUUCACUUUAAUAUUUUUUACAAUAAAAUCUUUAAAAG